CCAGACUCCUACGGGAGGCAGCAGUGGGGAAUAUUGGACAAUGGGGGGAACCCUGAUCCAGCGACGCCGCGUGAGUGAAGAAGUAUUUCGGUAUGUAAAGCUCUAUCAGCAGGGAAGAAAGAAAUGACGGUACCUGACUAAGAAGCCCCGGCUAACUACGUGCCAGCAGCCGCGGUAAUACGUAGGGGGCAAGCGUUAUCCGGAUUUACUGGGUGUAAAGGGAGCGUAGACGGCAAUGCAAGCCAGAUGUGAAAGCCCGGGGCUCAACCCCGGGACUGCAUUUGGAACUGUGUAGCUGGAGUGUCGGAGAGGCAGGCGGAAUUCCUAGUGUAGCGGUGAAAUGCGUAGAUAUCAGGAGGAACACCGGCGGCGAAGGCGGCCUGCUGGACCGCGACUGGCGUUGAGGCUCGAAAGCGUGGGGAGCGAACAGGAUUAGAUACCCGUGUAG
rnacentral:rRNA from 1 species